AGCCGCACCACCCAUCAACCCUAAACACCAUCACACAUCCUCCAUCCAUUCUACACCAUCCAUAACCCCAAAGAACCUGUCCAAAGUCCUUUGCCGCACCAAGGAGGGGAGAAGGAAGCUCGGAAGAUUCAUGCAAUUCAAGUUCGCGUCGCUGGAAUUUCUAGGUGUUUCUUUUCCUUUGAUUUCAAUGUUUAAAUUCAAUUCUCUUUGUGUUGUGCGUAUGAGGAACUAAACCCCCCCCUUGGCUAGGGGGGGAUUCGAAAUACAUGUUUAUGCUUGCGAUAUGAUUUGAUUACUU
rnacentral:lncRNA from 1 species